UGUCAUGCAGCAGUCCAGUUCCCGGACCCCCUCCAGGGCACAGCCGGUCCGGCCAGGGCGGGUCCCCAGGAGGGCCGGGGUGCAGGGCCGCCACGGACCGCAUCCCUGGAGCCUGCCCGCCCAGGAUGCCCUGGAGCAAGGCCACCUCCUUCUGGCAGAGAGGACUCUGGGAGGUUCCCCAGAGCCUGAGUCUGUCCCUAGGGGAGGCGGCCAGGGUCAGCAAGGGCUUGCUGCUCAGAAAAGCCAGCUCUGUCUCCUUUGCCCAGCUGGGCACACAGGGGCGGCCCUAAAGGCUGAGAGGCUGGUUGACUCUCAGAGCCGGUGUCCAGGUCCGGACCGACAGAGCCAUGAAGGGCCUUGGAUGGCUGCCGUGGCCCUGCAGCCGCGAGAUAAUGCUGAACGCGGGCAGCCCUGCCUACACGGUGGCCUGACCCUGGCCCGGGGUGACGACCUGGCAGGGGCCAAGGAGGAGCCGGGUGGCUUGGGCCCACCAGGCGUGGGGCCCUGGGAGGAAGUGGGGACAGACCCCAAAGCCUGGCCCUCUGGGCACACUUGCCUCACGCCGGUGGCCAUCCCUGGGCGCCCCCUGUGCCCCUGGGUUCCCGCCGAGGGAGCCAACCCCCAGGUCCAGCCCGGGGAGGGCUCUGGGAGUUGAUGGUGGUGGUCCUCGGAGGCCCAGGCCCACCUGGGACCCGGGCAGGCUCUGGAGAGGGUAAGAGACAGUGGAAGUGCCCUCGGGGGGGCCUUCUGCUGGAUGAGCACUCAGCCCCCAAAAAAGGGGGUCCUGGAGCCUGGAGAGGGCACAGCGGAGGGGUCGUGACCUGAGGGGCGCUGGGCUGGUGGGGGAAGCCCAGGAGACAGCCCUUGGUCUCGGGCCACGGCGCACAGCGCCUGUCGUGCCGUGCGGGGUCCACGAGCCCAGCAGCGGGUUCCUCAGGAUCCGGACACGGGGCUGGCGGCCAGAGUGCUCCCCGCCCCCAUACCGUUGGAGCCCCUUCCUGGCCUACAAGAAGGCGGGGGCAGAGGCCAGAGCUCUGGGGUCUUUUUGCUGACUUAACCUCCAGGCACUUUAACGCUUCAUUUUCAAUUCUAUACAAUUCUCAUCACUUCCUUUCCUCCAGCACCUUCUGAGCGGGGUCCCUGCUGCUUGGAGUGCGUAUACGCACAUGUGCCUGCGUGUGCCUGCGUGUACCGGUGAGCACUGCAUGUGUGUACAGGCACGUGCCUGGUGUGCGUGGGGGUGCGUGUGCGUGUGGGCUGGGGAGAGCUGCUGGCGCUGAGAUGUCCCUCCCCCUCCUCCUUCUCAGGCCCCCACUGGGUCGGGCUGUGUCUGGGACCCGAGCUGCGGUGGUCUUCCGUUCCCCCCAGACCCUCUGUCAAUGAGGACCCCUUGGUGGGAGCAGAGACUCCUGCCAGGGGGCCAUGUCUCCGCCCUUUCCUUCCCAGGAGGCCCUGGUUCAGACAGAAGGACCCUGGACACCCUCCCAAGACUGCAGCAGCCGAGAGGGGCGUGUUUGCCUGGCUGGGCGUGCUGAGGGGUGGCCCGGCUGUCCUCUGGCCACUGUCUGGACCUCUUUGUGGUGGAGGCCAUGUGGCCAAUUCCCGUGGAGGUUCUUGUCUAGUGCCUGGAAUAAGCCCUUAAGGGGCUGAAAUGGAUCCAGUUUCCAGUGACACUCAGAGCUCAGCACCGGGUCCCCAAAGCUCGGGGAAGGAGAGGAGAGCUGCGGUGGGCAGUGCAGAGCUGCCCAGCAGGGGAGGCCCUUCUUCGCACUCUGGGGGGGCCCUGGGGACUGCCAUGGCCCCAGCGCCCUCCGAGCCUCGGCCUGAGGAAGGGGAGCCUAGUGACAGCCGCCCUGAAGCCGUGCCCAUCCCGAGCCCGUCCAAGCCACAGGGUGGAGAGGAGAAAACAGAAGAAGCCAGAGUACAGCCAAUAAAGUCUCCUUUAUGCUCCGGCCAACCCGAAUCCGCAGACUCAAAAUAAUAAAGUGAAGCUGUGGGUUGCACCCCAGAUUCGGCCGGCACAGCCCAGAGACGCCACUGCUCCGGGGGCCUCCUACCCGGGCUUCUCCCUAGAGCCCCUGCCCUGCCCAGACAUCCACGUGCUGUCGAGGAGAUGCCCUCCGAUGGGGCCCUGCGGCUGGGCAACGAAAGAGACUUAGCUCCAGGCCACCAAGGGCAGCAUCUCAACAUCAAAAUGACCUUCCGUGAUGCUCUAGCUGGUGGCGGCACAGAAGGUCCCACCGGCCGGGGGAAGCAGCCCCGCCACGGCCAGCGCCGAGUCAGCCUGCAUCUCCCCUCCCUGAAAAAUGGGGUGUGGAGUGAAAGAAUCUCUGAAGCCCCUCAUGGCUGCAUAGGUAAGCUUCCCAUUCUUUGGAGAUGGUCCAGCGAGAGGAGCCUGACUCCCGUGGAUCUGCCGGACCUGGCGAGCCUCCGUGGCCUGGCUUCUGGGGGCGCGGGGAUGGAGGGGCCCAGGGAUGCUCUUCCUCAUAUUCCGCCCUCCCUCCAGCCGACUUCCCUGCAGGGACCCGGAGGCUCCGUGGGUAUCUGGGGUUGAUUUUUGGAUGCAAAUCUUUGAAUGUACCCAGAAGAGCUGGAGAGGUGUCCCCAAACCCCUUUACCUAAUAAAAUGGCUUGGUCUCCACCUGG